GUGGUAUCUGCUCAGGGCUGCUGCCGACUGUCGUGGAUAAAGAGGUCUUUAUGAAGCCUGAUUACAUUCUGAAGCCUGUGCCCGCAGCGUGUUAGGCUGUUGUUGUGUACACAAUUGGAGCUCUUUUUCCACAGAUUGCUGUUCCCGCCGUCCCUUUUCACGUCAGGGCUGCGUUUCGUCUGUAGUUCCACCUACUCUCAGCCCUUGGUGUUGUGGAACAGUGCGGAUUGAAGGACACUUUGCCCUCUGCCUUCUUGAAGGCAGAUGGGAUUCCCCUGAGGACCGGUGCAGAGGGGACGUCACUACUAAUGGAAGGCAGCACAGCUGGAUCAGGACUCUGUUGGAGUGUGUUGCAGUGACCGUGACUGGACACCUGGCCAACCCUGACGGCUAACGGCUGGCACAUCAGCCAGCACCCCAUCCACAUCGGGCAAUACUCACUUUCAUUAUUUGUUUUUUUUAUUGUACUUCAAAUGUUGGCUUGUAGUUGUACUAGGGUUGUCAAGCACCCAGUGCACUCUCCUAACCAUCCCUGCAUCGGCCACUCAGCAUUUCUCCUCUCGACAAUUCUUCUUUGUGUCUC
ensembl:lncRNA